rfam:Gossypium raimondii Chr01_contig_191, whole genome shotgun sequence.
CACGUCAGAGCGCUUUGCUGACGUGACAGCAAAUCGCGUCCACGAGGGGGCGAUUUGUUGCCACGUCAGCAAAGCGCUCUGACGUGG